AAGUAGAUGAAUAUGUUGUGUUUGUUCCUUUAUCACACUUAGUAAAGAGGGACACCAAAGCCCGCCCAUCCGUUUAGGCCCACCCUGCUUAAGUUGUUAAUCUUAAUAAGUUGUAAACUUCUCAUCCCACAAUUAAUAGCGAAACACUCUACCUGGACAAAUUUGUAGAUAACUAAUAGCAUACACCAAGUAAGGUAAACUUUAUUAUGAUGCAAAAUUUAUGGUAUCAUGUCUUGUACACUUAUGAUAACCAUUAUUGAAUUUUCAAAUGCUACAUGGUGUAUAUAAUCAAGUAUUAUAAAAUGCAAAAGUUGAAUGACAGAUAUAUAAUGGCAAAAGAUCCGAACACAUUUCCUUGAUGUCCAAAAUAGAUAGCAUUGGUUCAGGACCAUUUCAUCAUAUUGAGUAGUGAGCAUUACAGAACCCUUAAAAUAAAAAGUGCUCAUUAGAACAUGAUAUUAAGUUUAAGACUUACGUAUUCUACAUCCAUCUCAACCAUGUAUAUACGAUACUUAACACGAAGCUUAUUGAUCUUCCUCUCCAUAGCAUUAGUUGGGGUAGGGAUCAAAGGUGCUGCACAAAACAUGAAAUGGUUAAUAGCUAGAAAGAUGACAAACAAUUAAUGGCAAUGAUUAAAGAACGAUGAAAUAUAAUGGUUUGACAUAAAAAAAAUUAAAGAAAUCAGAAGUAAAAAAAUUCACCAAUUAACAUAUGAUAGAAGAACAUUGCCUGAAAGUUAUGGUGGUGAGCCAUCACUGGAUACAAAAACGGCAACUCCAUAACUGAAAGCUUGAAUAUAUAUAGUGGGUGCAACCUUUGAUAUGAAACCACAAAACCUUGGAAAAUUGAAAGGAAUUCAAUAUCGGUUGGGAAUCCAAUAGUUGGGGGCGUUUUGAUUAGUAUAACCGCCAUUUAAUUUUUGUUGUGAAUCUAAUCAGAAAGGCAUACUCAGCAGAUUUUGUAUCACGUCUUGGGAAUUGUGAUAGCAAUAACUACGUAUGCCAAAAUAAAAGGGAAGUCAAGUUAAGCGGUUCCAAAAAAAAAAGGAACACCAAGGCGCCAAAAGAAGUAGAAAUAGAAAGAUUAUGUUUAUUGGGAAUAGAUGGAAUGGGUGGAGAUCAACACAGAUGCAUCCAAUGGCCAUAACAGUUUGGAGCCAAAACCAUUAGAAUUAGGGUUGGCACAAUUUGUUAGCAAUGUUAUUCAUAUUAGAAAUAAGUAUGAUGUACUUCAAAUUCUUGGAUGUCUUUUCCUAUGUUUCUUUAUGGAAUGUCUAUAUCAAA